UGCCAUAUAUGCAUAUAUAUAUGCCAUAUAUGCAUAUAUAUAUAUAUAUAUAUAUAUAUAUAUAUAUAUAUAUAUAUGGCU